rnacentral:rRNA from 1 species
GUAGGAGACAAGCGUUAUCCGAAUUUACUGGGCGUAAAGCGCGUGCAGGUGGUUAGGUAAGUGGCGUGUGAAAUCUCCUGGCUCAACUGGGAGAGGCUGCGCCAAACUGCCUGGCUAGAGGGCGGUAGAGGGAGGUGGAAUUCCCGGUGUAGUGGUGAAAUGCGUAGAUAUCGGGAGGAACACCUGUGGCGAAAGCGGCCUCCUGGACCGUACCUGACGCUCAGACGCGAAAGCUAGGGGAGUGAACGGGAUUAGAAACCCCGGUAAUCCUAGCCGUAAACGAUGUGGACUGGGUGUCGGUGGGGUAAAAGCCAUCGGUGCCGAAGCCAACGCGAUAAGUCCACCGCCUGGGGACUACGGCCGCAAGGUUAAA